rnacentral:rRNA from 1 species
CCUACGGGUGACAGCAGUGAGGAAUAUUGGUCAAUGGGCGGAAGCCUGAACCAGCCAAGUAGCGUGCGGGAUGAAGGCCCGACGGGUCGUAAACCGCUGUUGCACGGGGAUAACACCCGGCACGUGUGGAGGUCUGCAGGUACCGUGCGAAUAAGGGCCGGCUAAGUCCGUGCCAGCAGCCGCGGUAAUACGGAAGGCGCGUGCGUUAUCCGGAUUGAUUGGGCUUAAGGGGAGCGUAGGCGGGCGUUAAAGUCAGCUGUCAAAUCGCGCGGCUCAACCGCGCCCCGCAGUUGAAACUGGACGCCUUGAGUUCACCACAGGCAGGCGGAAUUCUUGUUGUAGCGGUGACAUGCAUAGCUAUCACG